CUUGUUGGCCAAUUAUUCUAUCUGUCAUGUAAAGAAAAAGCAUUCUUACAGAAUUAGAAGUGGAUCAAGUUUGGCUGUAAAGUUAAUCCAGAAUGUUGUGUAAUCCUACUCAAGAUAAUAUAGUCUUCUUUUAGUUUUGUGAGAAAUGAUCAACAGUCGUGCCCAACAGCGCAGUGUACUUCAGACUUCUAAUUUCCCUCCUCAAAGUCUCUGGCUAGUCCUUCAGAGUACACCCGAUAUGAGGAAUUCACUGAGCCAGUCUGCUAGGUAAAACAAUAUGGCAUUUGGAAAUGAUUUCAUUUUGGAACCCACUGGCAUAGGAAACAUUGGCGGCCCUUUUUUUGGGCUGUGUGGAGCUGAAGAUAAGCAUGAAGUAGAACUACUUUGCGGUGCACAGAAACCUUCACCCUAUUCAAAACCAAGAAUUUCGAAGUUGCCUUCCUGUAGGGGCUGUAGGGAUGCAUGCGCAGUUACUGUGCAGAGACGGAGCCAAGAGUCUCUCCUGCAAGUAACACUUUGCAUCCAGAGAAAUGAAAACAAAGGUAAAUGGCUGUCUGUAACUUUCGGAGCACCCGUGAGCACUCAGGGAUGAAGGCACUGGACUUCCAAGUCUGAACCCCAAUACUCAGGCAAAGCAGAGGAGAGCAGGAUGCCAGUUUGCUGCAAGUACAUCUCGCGUAUAAGGAUGGCAACACCAAGCUGCAAACACUUGACCGAGAAAAUGAAGCCCCAGAAACCUGCUUCUCAGCAGCAGCCCCACUUUAACAAAACAGCCUGCGGCUCCCAGCGUUCAGAUCUGAGACUAAUCGAAACAUUCAGUUCCGUAUUGACAGGACUCCUGUUCUGGAUACUGUUCAUCUCCCCACAUUUGAAAAUCUGUAAAAAUAAAAAGGAACGGGGUGGGGGGGCGUGGAACGCCCGGAGGAGAAAGGAGGGAAAAGAUACACAUGCGGGUUUGGUUUCGUCGCAAAGUAUUGAAGCUCUGUAAUGAACUUCACAUGUUUCCGAUCAUCAUUGCAAAAUAUAAACACCUCGAGAUCAGCCA